CUGCAACCGCACAAAAAUGGUUUAAGUACUUUAAUGUCACCACAAUGGCGUGUCUUAAAUU
rnacentral:sRNA from 1 species